AUUGAACGCUGGCGGCAGGCCUAACACAUGCAAGUCGAGCGGUAGCACAGAGAGCUUGCUCUCGGGUGACGAGCGGCGGACGGGUGAGUAAUGUCUGGGAAACUGCCUGAUGGAGGGGGAUAACUACUGGAAACGGUAGCUAAUACCGCAUAAUGUCGCAAGACCAAAGUGGGGGACCUUCGGGCCUCAUGCCAUCAGAUGUGCCCAGAUGGGAUUAGCUAGUAGGUGGGGUAACGGCUCACCUAGGCGACGAUCCCUAGCUGGUCUGAGAGGAUGACCAGCCACACUGGAACUGAGACACGGUCCAGACUCCUACGGGAGGCAGCAGUGGGGAAUAUUGCACAAUGGGCGCAAGCCUGAUGCAGCCAUGCCGCGUGUGUGAGGAAGGCCUUCGGGUUGUAAAGCACUUUCAGCGGGGAGGAAGGCGGUGAGGUUAAUAACCUCAUCGAUUGACGUUACCCGCAGAAGAAGCACCGGCUAACUCCGUGCCAGCAGCCGCGGUAAUACGGAGGGUGCAAGCGUUAAUCGGAAUUACUGGGCGUAAAGCGCACGCAGGCGGUCUGUCAAGUCGGAUGUGAAAUCCCCGGGCUCAACCUGGGAACUGCAUUCGAAACUGGCAGGCUAGAGUCUUGUAGAGGGGGGUAGAAUUCCAGGUGUAGCGGUGAAAUGCGUAGAGAUCUGGAGGAAUACCGGUGGCGAAGGCGGCCCCCUGGACAAAGACUGACGCUCAGGUGCGAAAGCGUGGGGAGCAAACAGGAUUAGAUACCCUGGUAGUCCACGCCGUAAACGAUGUCGAUUUGGAGGUUGUGCCCUUGAGGCGUGGCUUCCGGAGCUAACGCGUUAAAUCGACCGCCUGGGGAGUACGGCCGCAAGGUUAAAACUCAAAUGAAUUGACGGGGGCCCGCACAAGCGGUGGAGCAUGUGGUUUAAUUCGAUGCAACGCGAAGAACCUUACCUGGUCUUGACAUCCACAGAACUUAGCAGAGAUGCUUUGGUGCCUUCGGGAACUGUGAGACAGGUGCUGCAUGGCUGUCGUCAGCUCGUGUUGUGAAAUGUUGGGUUAAGUCCCGCAACGAGCGCAACCCUUAUCCUUUGUUGCCAGCGGUCCGGCCGGGAACUCAAAGGAGACUGCCAGUGAUAAACUGGAGGAAGGUGGGGAUGACGUCAAGUCAUCAUGGCCCUUACGACCAGGGCUACACACGUGCUACAAUGGCAUAUACAAAGAGAAGCGACCUCGCGAGAGCAAGCGGACCUCAUAAAGUAUGUCGUAGUCCGGAUUGGAGUCUGCAACUCGACUCCAUGAAGUCGGAAUCGCUAGUAAUCGUAGAUCAGAAUGCUACGGUGAAUACGUUCCCGGGCCUUGUACACACCGCCCGUCACACCAUGGGAGUGGGUUGCAAAAGAAGUAGGUAGCUUAACCUUCGGGAGGGCGCUUACCACUUUGUGAUUCAUGACUGGGGUGA
rnacentral:rRNA from 1 species